CAGCAGCCGCGGGAAUACGGAGGGUGCAAGCGUUAAUCGGAAUUACUGGGCGUAAAGCGCACGCAGGCGGUCUGACAAGUCAGAUGUGAAAUCCCCGGGCUUAACCUGGGAACUGCAUUUGAAACUGUCAGGCUGGAGUCUUGUAGAGGGGGGUGGAAUUCCAGGUGUAGCGGUGAAAUGCGUAGAGAUCUGGAGGAAUACCGGUGGCGAAGGCGGCCCCCUGGACAAAGACUGACGCUCAAGUGCGAAAGCGUGGGGAGCAAACAGGAUUAGAUACCCGUGUAGUCCCUGUCUCUUAUAA
rnacentral:rRNA from 1 species